GUCUUCUCCCCCAACCCCCAUCUUCUUCUUCCUUGGGAUUUGUUGAAAAAAUGGGAUUGACUUGUAGAAUUUCCUUCGUUGCAGGGUGCUUUGUAUCUGCUUAUCUUACAAAACCAUUUAUGCACAACUCCGGUGCUAUUGUUUCUGCCAGAAGUGGAUUUAACCACUUUCACAUUGUGAGGAGCCAGAGUGAUAAAUUAUAUGGAAAUAUAACAGACACCACAUCAGCAUCCUUUGGAUCUUGGAAUAUCAAACAUAAUAUUGUACUACAAGGCAACCCGGGGGGCAUGGUGGAAAUUGUGCCAACAUGAUCUGCAGCCAAGAGCCACAGAAGGCCUGCGAAGUCAAGUCUGUUAAUAGCACCCCUAACAUCUAAGAUACAUCCAUCCUUGAAUCGAUCUGGGCAGUGCAUCUCUGUCCAUCAGUCACUUGAAGCCAAAUAAGCUGGAGAUGCCAAAACCACCUUGGAAGAUUGAAGAAAGGGUCAAAA
rnacentral:lncRNA from 1 species